UUAAAAUGAGAAGGCUGCUGAAUUGAAAAUGUGCGUGUGUGUAUAUAUUAUAUAAAUAUAUAUAUAUAUAUAUAUAUAUCAAGAGGCUGCUGGAAUUUUCCAGCAAGGAGGCGCCACUUGGGGCGCCGUUUCACGCAAGAGAGAUGGCAGCCUUGGCUGCAACGUGGCCGCUUCUCGACCCUACUUUUUUUUGUGGCCUUAAUGCCACUUAAUUAGGUUAUAAAUUGGUUGUCUUGGGCAGCAAGCAGCGGCCAUUAAAGGCUUAAUUGGAAGGUGCUAUGAGGAGGAAGAAAGGAGGUGCUCGGCAGCGAGAAAAUGGAAGGAAAGUGAGGGAAUUAAAGGGUUUUUGAGGUUAUUUGGUGUUUAAAAUUUUCAGGAAACGUUUUACUUCGCAUCGGGAGCACAAGAGAGGCUGAAAUCAGUCGUUUUCAGGCAAGCUCCUAACCCUCUCUUCGCGUUAUUUAUUUCCCGUGAAAGUCUUUGAGGUUUCUUGUACUCUAAACCCUCCCUCACCUUGAUUCAGUGCCACGCAUUAAUAAUAAUAUUCCGCGUGGCAACUACCCUAUGACUUAUGUUUUAUUAAAUGGGAUUAUUAUUAAUGGAAUGAGUUAAGAAAAUGAUGAUUUGGUGUUAUUCUUUCUGUCCGUUACGGAGCUUCGUAUCGUUCCGCUUCCCUUGGGAAUGAUGCCGAACCCGUUGGGGUUAGGUUCUUAGAGAAAUUGGUUAUGGUUAGAAUUAGGAAAAUGUGUUAAAGAGUUUAUUAUGUAUGUUGAGAUGACUUUAUGUGAAUGAAAAGUAAUAAGAAUGGUAUUACGAUGUUAUGUGGUUAUGUACAUGAAGAGUUAUGAGUUAUGGAGAAAUGUUAUGUAAAGUUAAGCUGGGAAGAUAUAAAGUUAAUAAUGUCAGUAAGUGUGUCUAAGGGUAUAGGUACAAAGCCACUGACUGUUGAUCGUGGGUCGUGGCAGUUGAUGGCUGGAUGUAUGGGCGCCAGUCAUUGGUUGUUACGAUAAGCGUUAGACGGCCAGAAGAGCUGGUCAGCAUAUCCUGAGAUCGCAAGUGUGUUCAUCGGGGUUUGGGUCCAGAUCGUCAAGUCAUGGUAGCCAGUGCAGAGCUCUCCCAAAACUAGAUCCUGGGUGUCAUCGUGUCUUAAUAAGGUUAAUGUUUAUGUUUUCAGAGUUUGUCGCAUGUUAUGUAAGCCCAGGUGGGGCCCAAGUGAUGAAUGGUUGUAAAGAUUAUGAUGAGAUGUUAUAAUAAAGAAAAAUUAUGAUUUCAAAAAGGGUUAUGUGUGUGUUGUA